CUGUCUCCUUUAUCUAAUCAGUGAAACUAAUCUCCCCGUGAAGAAGCGAGGAUACUCUUAUAAGACGAGAAGACCCCAUGGAGCUUUAAACCCAAUUAUAUCUCUAACCACUAUAACCAUUUAACCACUUAGAACUUAUAUACUUGGUUUUAGGUUGGGGCGACCACGGNANCACAACCAAACCUCCACGAUGAACGGAACAACCCCCUUAUCUGAGAAUUACACUUCUAAGAAUUAGCACACUAACAUAAAAUGACCCAUUAUUGAUCAACGAACCAAGUUACCCUGGGGAUAACAGCGCAAUCCAUUUUAAGAGCCCCUAUCGACAAAUGGG
rnacentral:rRNA from 1 species